AGAGUUUGAUCAUGGCUCAGACGAACGCUGGCGGCAGGCUUAACACAUGCAAGUCGAACGGAUCCUUCGGGAUCAGUGGCGGACGGGUGAGUAACGCGUGGGAACCUACCCUGGGGUGGGGAAUAACCUUGGGAAACCGAGGCUAAUACCGCAUACGCCCUAUUGGGGAAAGACUAUGUUGCCCUGGGAUGGGCCCGCGUCCGAUUAGCUAGUUGGUGGGGUAAUGGCCUACCAAGGCUGCGAUCGGUAGCUGGUCUGAGAGGAUGGUCAGCCACACUGGGACUGAGACACGGCCCAGACUCCUACGGGAGGCAGCAGUGGGGAAUAUUGGACAAUGGGGGCAACCCUGAUCCAGCCAUGCCGCGUGAGUGAAGAAGGCCUUAGGGUUGUAAAGCUCUUUCACCCGUGACGAUGAUGACGGUAGCGGGAGAAGAAGCCCGGCUAAUUCCGUG
rnacentral:rRNA from 1 species